rnacentral:rRNA from 1 species
CAGUCGCCGCGGUAAUACGAAGGGGGCUAGCGUUGCUCGGAAUCACUGGGCGUAAAGGGUGCGUAGGCGGGUUUUUAAGUCAGAGGUGAAAUCCUGGAGCUCAACUCCAGAACUGCCUUUGAUACUGGGAAUCUUGAGUAUGGAAGAGGUGAGUGGAACUGCGAGUGUAGAGGUGAAAUUCGUAGAUAUUCGCAAGAACACCAGUGGCGAAGGCGGCUCACUGGUCCAUAACUGACGCUGAGGCACGAAAGCGUGGGGAGCAAACAGGAUUAGAUACCCCCGUAGUCCCUGUCUCUUAUAC